rnacentral:rRNA from 1 species
GUGCACCAGGCGCGAAUCCUCCGCAAUACACGAAAGUGUGACGGGGCCAUCCCGAGUGCCGUCCGCUGAGGACGGCUUUUCCCCAGUGUACAUAGCUGGGGGAAUAAGGAGAGGGCAAGCCUGGUGUCAGCCGCCGCGGUAAGUACCAGCUCUCCGAGUGGUGGGGACGCUUAUUGGGCCUAAAGCAUCCGUAGCCGGCUGGGCAAGUCCUCCGUUAAAUCCAACGAUUCAAUCGUUGGGCUGCGGGGGAUACU